UACGUAGGGUCCGAGCGUUGUCCGGAUUUAUUGGGCGUAAAGAGCUCGUAGGCGGCUUGCUAAGUCAGGUGUGAAACCUCCAGGCUCAACCUGGAGCCGCCACCUGAUACUGGUAUGGCUAGAGUCCGGUAGGGGACCACGGAAUUCCUGGUGUAGCGGUGAAAUGCGCAGAUAUCAGGAAGAACACCCGUGGCUAAGGCGGCUCUCUAGUACGGUACUGACGCUGAGACGCGAAAGCGUGGGGAGCGAACAGG
rnacentral:rRNA from 1 species